GUCGAACGCUGGCGGCGUGCUUAACACAUGCAAGUCGAACGGAAAGGCCCUGCUUUUGUGGGGUGCUCGAGUGGCGAACGGGUGAGUAACACGUGAGUAACCUGCCCUUGACUUUGGGAUAACUUCAGGAAACUGGGGCUAAUACCGGAUAGGAGCUCCUGCUGCAUGGUGGGGUUGGAAAGUUUCGGCGGUUGGGGAUGGACUCGCGGCUUAUCAGCUUGUUGGUGGGGUAGUGGCUUACCAAGGCUUUGACGGGUAGCCGGCCUGAGAGGGUGACCGGCCACAUUGGGACUGAGAUACGGCCCAGACUCCUACGGGAGGCAGCAGUGGGGAAUAUUGCACAAUGGGCGGAAGCCUGAUGCAGCAACGCCGCGUGCGGGAUGACGGCCUUCGGGUUGUAAACCGCUUUCGCCUGUGACGAAGCGUGAGUGACGGUAAUGGGUAAAGAAGCACCGGCUAACUACGUG
rnacentral:rRNA from 1 species